GAUGAACGCUGGCGGCGUGCCUAAUACAUGCAAGUCGAGCGAACGGACGAGAAGCUUGCUUCUCUGAUGUUAGCGGCGGACGGGUGAGUAACACGUGGAUAACCUACCUAUAAGACCGGGAUAACUUCGGGAAACCGUAGCUAAUACCGGAUAAUAUUUUGAACCGCAUGGUUCAAAAGUGAAAGACGGUCUUGCUGUCACUUAUAGAUGGAUCCGCGCUGCAUUAGCUAGUUGGUAAGGUAGCGGCUUACCAAGGCAACGAUGCAUAGCCGACCUGAGAGGGUGAUCGGCCACACUGGAACUGAGACACGGUCCAGACUCCUACGGGAGGCAGCAGUAGGGAAUCUUCCGCAAUGGGCGAAAGCCUGACGGAGCAACGCCGCGUGAGUGAUGAAGGUCUUCGGAUCGUAAAACUCUGUUAUUAGGGAAGAACAUAUGUGUAAGUAACUGUGCACAUCUUGACGGUACCUAAUCAGAAAGCCACGGCUAACUACGUG
rnacentral:rRNA from 1 species